AUUGGUGUUGGUCGGAUGCUUAACCUUUUAGCAUUCAAACCGGCCAUAUCCGGCCUAAAUAUUUUAGCUCUUUUAUGUUCAAAACCAGUCAGAUCCAGUCUCUUACACCUAUCCUUCAAUAUCAUUC